CGCAUCUGUGCAUGCAGCAUAUCAAUAAGCGGAGGAAAAGAAACUAACAAGGAUUCCCCUAGUAACGGCGAGUGAAGCGGGAAGAGCUCAAAUUUGAAAUCUUAAAGGGUUUCCCUUUACGAAUUGUAGUUUAAAGAAGUGUUUUCUGUUGAGGUUUUGGUAAAAGUUCUUUGGAAUAGGACAUCAUAGAGGGUGAGAAUCCCGUAUUUGACCUUUACUUUCAACUUUGUGAUACACUUUCAAAGAGUCGGAUUGUUUGGGAAUGCAGUCCAAAAUGGGUGGUAAAUUUCAUCUAAAGCUAAAUAUUGGCGAGAGACCGAUAGCGAACAAGUACCGUGAGGGAAAGAUGAAAAGAACUUUGAAAAGAGAGUUAAACAGUACGUGAAAUUGUCAAAAGGGAAGCGUUUGACACCAGUGUUGUUUUUCUGAAAAUCAAUUAAAGAACUGUUUAUGCUAAGUUGUUUAGACUUUAUCAGCUAACUGUUUAGUUUUGAGCUUUUCUUUAAUGCACUUUUCAGUUAACAAGUCAACAUCAAUUUCUUUUGCUGUAAAAAAGCUUGAGGAAGGUGGCUUGAGAUUCGUCUUAAGUGUUUAUAGCCUCUUGCCUAUGCAGUCGGAGAGAUUGAGGUCUGCAGCGUAGAUCCUUCGAGGCUAAAUGCAUUUGUGCUAAGUUAUAGCAUUUUAUAGACAACUUGUUGACUAUGAUUUGUCUUGUAGCUUACUCGCUUAUGUUAUUUUACCUACGCUUAGGAUGUUGAACGCGCACAGAGUCUC
rnacentral:rRNA from 1 species